AAUAGGGGUGCCGCAUGAUUAUGCUGCUGAGAUUAUACCCAUAGAACCUGAUGCAGUUAGCACUGCCGAAGGGAUUGCUCUAUAU
rnacentral:ncRNA from 1 species